GGCAGCCGCGGUAAUUCCAGCUCCAAUAGCGUAUAUUAAAGUUUGUUGCAGUUAAAAAAGCUCGUAGUUGAAUUUCGGGAUUAGUACGCUGGUCAUGCCUUUGGUAUGUACUGGUGUUACUGGUUCCUACCUUCUGAAGAACCGUUAUGUCAUUAAUUUGGUGUGGCGGGGAAUCAGGACUGUUACUUUGAAAAAAUUAGAGUGUUUAAAGCAGGCUCGCGCUUGAAUACAUUAGCAUGGAAUAAUGAAAUAGGACGUUGAUCCUAUUUUGUUGGUUUCUAGGAUUGACGUAAUGAUUAAUAGGGAUAGUUGGGGGGCAUUAGUAUUCAAUUGUCAGAGGUGAAAUUCUUGGAUUUAUUGAAGACUAACUACUGCGAAAAGCAUUUGCCAAGGAUGUUUUCAUUAAUCAAGAACGAAAGUUAGGGGAUCGAAGACGAUCAGAUACCGUCGUAGUCUUAACCAUAAACUAUGCCGACUAGGGAUCGGAUGAUGUUUAAUUUUUUUAAUGACUCAUUUCGGC
rnacentral:rRNA from 1 species